AGGACGAACGCUGGCGGCGUGCUUAACACAUGCAAGUCGAACGGAAAGGCCUGCAGCUUGCUGCGGGUACUCGAGUGGCGAACGGGUGAGUAACACGUGGGUGAUCUGCCUUGCACUUCAGGAUAAGCUUGGGAAACUGGGUCUAAUACCGGAUAGGACAGCUGUUUAGUGUCAGUUGUGGAAAGUUUUUUCGGUGCAAGAUGAGCUCGCGGCCUAUCAGCUUGUUGGUGGGGUAAUGGCCUACCAAGGCGUCGACGGGUAGCCGGCCUGAGAGGGUGUACGGCCACAUUGGGACUGAGAUACGGCCCAGACUCCUACGGGAGGCAGCAGUGGGGAAUAUUGCACAAUGGGCGGAAGCCUGAUGCAGCGACGCCGCGUGGGGGAUGAAGGCCUUCGGGUUGUAAACUCCUUUCGACAGGGACGAAGCGUAAGUGACGGUACCUGUAUAAGAAGCACCGGCUAACUACGUGCCAGCAGCCGCGGUAAUACGUAGGGUGCGAGCGUUGUCCGGAAUUACUGGGCGUAAAGAGCUCGUAGGUGGUUUGUCGCGUCGUCUGUGAAAUUCCGGGGCUUAACUCCGGGCGUGCAGGCGAUACGGGCUGACUUGAGUGCUGUAGGGGAGACUGGAAUUCCUGGUGUAGCGGUGAAAUGCGCAGAUAUCAGGAGGAACACCGAUGGCGAAGGCAGGUCUCUGGGCAGUAACUGACGCUGAGGAGCGAAAGCAUGGGUAGCGAACAGGAUUAGAUACCCUGGUAGUCCAUGCCGUAAACGGUGGGCGCUAGGUGUAGGGGGCUUCCACGUCUUCUGUGCCGUAGCUAACGCAUUAAGCGCCCCGCCUGGGGAGUGCGGC
rnacentral:rRNA from 1 species